rnacentral:rRNA from 1 species
GAUGAACGCUGGCGGCGUGCCUAAUACAUGCAAGUAGAACGCUGAAGGAGGAGCUUGCUCUUCUGGAUGAGUUGCGAACGGGUGAGUAACGCGUAGGUAACCUGCCUGGUAGCGGGGGAUAACUAUUGGAAACGAUAGCUAAUACCGCAUGACAACAGUUAUUGCAUGAUAACUGUUUAAAAGGGGCAACUGCUCCACUACCAGAUGGACCUGCGUUGUAUUAGCUAGUUGGUGAGGUAACGGCUCACCAAGGCGACGAUACAUAGCCGACCUGAGAGGGGGAUCGGCCACAAUGGGACUGAGACACGGCCCAGACUCCUACGGGAGGCAGCAGUAGGGAAUCUUCGGCAAUGGACGGAAGUCUGACCGAGCAACGCCGCGUGAGUGAAGAAGGUUUUCGGAUCGUAAAGCUCUGUUGUAAGAGAAGAACGAGUGUGAGAGUGGAAAGUUCACACUGUGACGGUAUCUUACCAGAAAGGGACGGCUAACUACGUG